AGAAUGUAGAGACUGAGAUUUUGCCAUCAGAGAUCAAGAACAAGAAUGACCACUGUGCAACAAGAGUAGAAAUGAUGCCCGGCCUACAGAAAAAGAAAUCACUUAGAGGAAGACUGAGGAAAUUCUUUGGCUUCAAAUAAGACGUGUGGAACCUUGUUUGUUGAUGAUGAAAGCUGUUAUAUUUCAUGACGGAAGAUAUUUACUUGUGGUUACCAGCCAGAUAUUACAUGUACCUAGCCAUAAACUAACUUUUGAGGGCCAUAAUUGGUCGAUCAUCUUUUAAUUAAAUUUUAAUUCUUACUAACUUCUAUUUACCAGUUUUUCCAUUGUUUUAAUAAAUAUAUAUAAAAUUGCA